rnacentral:rRNA from 1 species
AGUGAACGCUGGCGGUAGGCCUAACACAUGCAAGUCGAACGGCAGCACAGUAAGAGCUUGCUCUUACGGGUGGCGAGUGGCGGGCGGGUGAGGAAUACAUCGGAAUCUACUUUUUCGUGGGGGAUAACGUAGGGAAACUUACGCUAAUACCGCAUACGACCUACGGGUGGGAGCAGGGGAUCUUCGGCCCUUGCGCGAUUGAAUGAGCCGAUGUCGGAUUAGCUAGUUGGUGGGGUAAAGGCCCACCAAGGCGACGAUCCGUAGCUGGUCUGAGAGGAUGAUCAGCCACACUGGAACUGAGACACGGUCCAGACUCCUACGGGAGGCAGCAGUGGGGAAUUUUGGACAAUGGGCGAAAGCCUGAUCCAGCCAUACCGCGUGGGUGAAGAAGGCCUUCGGGUUGUAAAGCCCUUUUGGCGGGAAAGAAAAGCAGUGGGUUAAUACCCCGGUGUUCUGACGGUACCCAAAGAAUAAGCACCGGCUAACUUCGUG